AGCUGACGGACGAGUCCCAAAUAGAACGAAAUGCGCAUCUCAGU
rnacentral:hammerhead_ribozyme from 1 species